AGGCAGCCACUUUGCAGUAGUAAAUUGGGCAAGGUGGUGUUGAACUGCUCGUAUAUUGAAUUUACUUGGGCUCUUCAGACUAGCUGAGAGAUUGAUUUCCUUGAAGCUGGUCUAGUAAGCCCAAGUACAAC